CUUAAUAGAGGCAGGCAUUGGUUGAUUUAUGAAGACUGUAUGGAUCUAAUCUCAAAGCUACCUCGUGCUACAACAAAGAUCUACCGAAGUCUCUACUAGGAGGGCAGCAGUUUUGGGGCCAUUGACUCUAAACUGGACUGGUCCCACAAUUUCACCAGCAUGUUAGGCUGUACUGAUGCUCAGUUCACUGAGUUCGUGCAUCUGUACCCCACCAGCCACAUGGACCAUUGGGGCGGCAAUGUCAGUGCCCGUACCAGUCACCUGGUGGGCGGUGCCCUUUCCGACCCUUCCCUGUCCUUUGCAGCAGCCAUGAACGGGCUGGCAGGGCCUCUCCCUGGACUGGCAAAUCAGGAAGUGCUUGCCUGGCUACUGCAACGACAGAAGGACGUUGGCAAAGAUGUGUCAGAUGAGAAGGUACGAGACUACAUCUGGAGCAUGCUCGACUCAAGCCGGGUUGUUCCAGGGUACAGGCAUGCAGGACUGAGGAAGACUGAUCCACGAUACACCUGUCAGUGACGGUUUGCUCUGAAAUGCCUGCCUAAUGACCCCAUGUUUAAGUUGGUUGCCCAACUGUGUAAGAUUGUGUCCAAUGUCCUCUUACAGCAGGGAAAGGUAAAAAAUCCUUGGUCCAAUGCAGAUGCUCACAGUUGGGUACUGCUCCAGCCGUAUGGCAUGACAGAGAUUAACUACUACACGGUCCUGUUUGAGGUGUCAUGGGUACUUGGAGGGAGUAUGACACAGUUCAUCUGGAAUUGAGCCAUAGGCUUCUCUCUAGAGAGAUCCCAGUCCAUGAGCACAGAUGGUCUGAUGAAGUUUGUGGACUCUAAGUCAGGGUAA